rnacentral:tRNA from 1 species
GUUAGGGUGGCAGAGCCUGGUAAUUGCAAAAGACCUAAGCCCUUUAAACAGAGGUUCAAAUCCUCUCCUUAACU